rnacentral:rRNA from 1 species
UACGGAGGGUGCAAGCGUUAUCCGGAUUCACUGGGUUUAAAGGGUGCGUAGGCGGCGUGGUAAGUCGGAUGUGAAAUCUCGGAGCUUAACUCCGAAACUGCAUUCGAUACUGCCGUGCUUGAGGACUGGAGAGGAGACUGGAAUUUACGGUGUAGCGGUGAAAUGCGUAGAUAUCGUAAGGAAGACCAGUGGCGAAGGCGGGUCUCUGGACAGUUCCUGACGCUGAGGCACGAAGGCCAGGGGAGCAAACGGG